GUGCUGAGCCUGCCUGAUGAAGGACUGACCCUGAAAUGUAGCACAUUCUCUAAGAGUAUCUGUCUCUUGGCUUCCUGAGAAUCUGUCGUGAUUAAAUAGUGAAUGAAAGAAACUGAAUGGAAUUUUCUGUACCAUUGUGCCCAGAAUUGGUUCCUUCCGGUGGGUUCUUUGUCUCGCUGACUUCAAGAAUGAAGCUGUGGAUCCUCGUGAGAACAGAGAAAAACUGUUUUCUGAAAAGCAAUUCUGCAAAAACAUUGACAUUAACAAAAAACACACCUGCUUGGAAAAGAGGAUAACAUGUUGGACAAUGGUUAAAUUAUAUUUACUUUGAUAUGUCUCUGGAGGUUAAAUCAAUACCUGUAUGAAGCUUGAAGUUCACAUUUAUUAUGGAGGGCACUUGUAAAAGUGUAUCUGAAGCCUGUAAGAGCCAGAAGGACUCAGUCAUAUGCUGCCUUCUGUGCCUGAUGUUUUCUUUUGAACUAGGGAGAGACGUGAACAUACAGUCUGUUAUUGUAGUUUAUGCACAAAGACUCAAAUAAGAAAGAUGUGGGUGUAUGUAUAAGAAAAGGUUUAGAAAACUUGGCAUAUUUUCUAUGAAUGUUAAGAACUUGUAUUACUGUAAUUCUGUAAGUCUAAAUGCAAUCGAAGGACACAAACAUCUCUAUGUAUAAUGAGAUUAACUGAAACAUAAUUGAACAAAACUGGAA
rnacentral:lncRNA from 10 species